rnacentral:rRNA from 1 species
CCCCUAGAUGUUCUGGGCCGCACGCGCGCUACACUGAUGCAAUCAACGAGCUUUCCUUGUCCGACAGGACCGGGUAAUCUUCUCAAAUUGCAUCGUGAUGGGGAUAGAGCAUUGCAAUUAUUGCUCUUCAACGAGGAAUUCCUAGUAAGCGCAAGUCAUCAGCUUGUGCUGAUUACGUCCCUGCCCUUUGUACACACCGCCCGUCGCUCCUACCGAUUGAGUGGUCCGGUGAAUUAUUUGGACCGAGGUUAUUGCUCACGCAGUGACAUCGGGAAGUUUUGUGAACCUUAUCACUUAGAGGAAGGAGAAGUCGUAACA